rnacentral:snRNA from 1 species
UGCUAUGCUAUCUGGCUUCGAUAUCUGUCACCCCAUUGAUCGCCAGGGUUGAUUCAGCUGAUCUGGCUGGCUAGGAGGGUGUCCCCUUCCUCCCUCACCACUCCAUGUACGUCCCUCCCGAAUCUGUGCCCUCAGUGGAAGAGGAUGGCCUUCCCUGAAUAGAGACGGACCGGUCUUCGGUGGAGGGUAUACAAGUAGCUGCUAGAACCUCCAAACAAGCUCUCAAAAAAUUAAUAAUAAAAUUAAAUAAAAAGAAGAUUAAAGAGUAAAAAACUACCACCAUUU